rnacentral:rRNA from 1 species
AUUGAACGCUGGCGGCAGGCCUAACACAUGCAAGUCGAACGGUAACAGGAAGAAGCUUGCUUCUUUGCUGACGAGUGGCGGACGGGUGAGUAAUGUCUGGGAAACUGCCUGAUGGAGGGGGAUAACUACUGGAAACGGUAGCUAAUACCGCAUAACGUCGCAAGACCAAAAAGGGGGACCUUCGGGCCUCUUGCCAUCGGAUGUGCCCAGAUGGGAUUAGCUAGUAGGUGGGGUAACGGCUCACCUAGGCGACGAUCCCUAGCUGGUCUGAGAGGAUGACCAGCCACACUGGAACUGAGACACGGUCCAGACUCCUACGGGAGGCAGCAGUGGGGAAUAUUGCACAAAGGGCGCAAGCCUGAUGCAGCCAUGCCGCGUGUAUGAAGAAGGCCUUCGGGUUGUAAAGUACUUUCAGCGGGGAGGAAGGGAGUAAAGUUAAUACUUUUGCUCAUUGACGUUACCCGCAGAAGAAGCACCGGCUAACUCCGUG